UGGGUGGGUUGGUUGCAUCACCCACUGCUUUCCUCCUGGAGCUGCCGAGCAGGUUUUAGGCCAAGCUGGCUGUCUCAAUCAGAUGGGACCGAGACUCGAAGAAGUAGGAAGGUACAAUUUACCAAGCCAAGCCGGAGAACGGGACCGACUGGUGAAGCGAGAAACAAGACAACGAAAGCAGCUCCAGAGCAGCUCAUCACCACUAUGCCUACUCGCCUCCUUGGCCACAGCUUCAGGCCUCAUUGGUCACAAACGUUUGGGGACUGGAGAAAACAGCACCAAUCAGGAGUAAAUUUGUACAGAGAGUAAGACCUGGAAGAAACACCAGCUACUUUUGAAGAAAUAAUCUUAGUUGGGAACCGAGGUGCAAACUGAACUGUCCAUUGUUGAGGUGAACUACUCUUGACUGUUUCACUGAUUUGUUCUGAUGAUCAGAUUGAAAACUUGAUAUAUCAAGCUAUAUGUUCUCAAUUCUUCGUAUGAAUACGAUUCAACGUAUAAAUACAAAGCAAGAAUAAAGAAGAGAAAAGCUGGAAGAGAGAAAGAAAGAGUCAAUAUUAUAAGGAGCAGGCAUUCAACGAUUUAAAAAUAGACCUCGUGAGGCAAGUUGAAGCCAAAGAAAUCAUCAUUUUCCAAGUGUGACUUUCCCAAAAAAAAAAAAAAAAAAGUCCUCAGAAAGACCUCAAUAAGAGCGAUGAUGGCAAACCAACUUCUCUGAAGGCUAUCUAUUUUCCCCUAAAGAGCGCAACUGAGGAUAACCCGGAGCAUAUUUUGAGAUCCCAUCUCAAUUCACGGAAGUGAGAAUGAGUUGCAGACUGCAGUUCCUCUUGGAAUCACCCACCGCGUACGGGGAGAUGAGAAAUUCCACGGUGGGCCACUAUAGAACAUGGUUUAUCCCGUUCCUCAAAAGUUUUGGGACACUUUCUGGGUUGUCCCAAUCAAAAGAAAGAUACAGAAAAUAAA